ACCAAUUCUGAAGGAUUUUUCUGUUCCUUUUAGGUAUAAUGGCUUGGGUGCUACAUUGAAAUUCUUGUGGCUUAUCCUGAUUAUUGGCUUUGUUAUCCCUGCCAUCUAAUCCUGGAAACACCUCAUACAUAU